GGAGAUAUAGCUCAGUGGCAGAGGGCAUGCAUAGCAUGCAUGAGGUCCUGAGUUCAAUCCCAGUAACUCCG
rnacentral:tRNA from 1 species